rnacentral:rRNA from 1 species
UACGGAGGGUGCGAGCGUUGUCCGGAAUCAUUGGGCGUAAAGGGCGCGUAGGUGGCCCGGUCAGUUCGUGGUGAAAGCGCGGGGCUCAACCCUGCGUCGGCCAUGAAUACUGCCGCGGCUGGAGCACUGUAGAGGCAGGCGGAAUUCCGGGUGUAGCGGUGGAAUGCGUAGAGAUCCGGAAGAACACCGGUGGCGAAGGCGGCCUGCUGGGCAGUUGCUGACACUGAGACGCGACAGCGUGGGGAGCAAACAGG